AAGACUGGGAUAACUUCGGGAAACCGGAGCUAAUACCGGAUAAUAUUUUGAACCGCAUGGUUCAAAAGUAAAAGACGGUCUUGCUGUCACUUAUAGAUGGAUCCGCGCUGCAUUAGCUAGUUGGUAAGGUAACGGCUUACCAAGGCAACGAUGCAUAGCCGACCUGAGAGGGUGAUCGGCCACACUGGAACUGAGACACGGUCCAGACUCCUACGGGAGGCAGCAGUAGGGAAUCUUCCGCAAUGGGCGAAAGCCUGACGGAGCAACGCCGCGUGAGUGAUGAAGGUCUUCGGAUCGUAAAACUCUGUUAUUAGGGAAGAACAUAUGUGUAAGUAACUGUGCACAUCUUGACGGUACCUAAUCAGAAAGCCACGGCUAACUACGUGCCAGCAGCCGCGGUAAUACGUAGGUGGCAAGCGUUAUCCGGAAUUAUUGGGCGUAAAGCGCGCGUAGGCGGUUUUUUAAGUCUGAUGUGAAAGCCCACGGCUCAACCGUGGAGGGUCAUUGGAAACUGGAAAACUUGAGUGCAGAAGAGGAAAGUGGAAUUCCAUGUGUAGCGGUGAAAUGCGCAGAGAUAUGGAGGAACACCAGUGGCGAAGGCGACUUUCUGGUCUGUAACUGACGCUGAUGUGCGAAAGCGUGGGGAUCAAACAGGAUUAGAUACCCUGGUAGUCCACGCCGUAAACGAUGAGUGCUAAGUGUUAGGGGGUUUCCGCCCCUUAGUGCUGCAGCUAACGCAUUAAGCACUCCGCCUGGGGAGUACGACCGCAAGGUUGAAACUCAAAGGAAUUGACGGGGACCCGCACAAGCGGUGGAGCAUGUGGUUUAAUUCGAAGCAACGCGAAGAACCUUACCAAAUCUUGACAUCCUUUGACAACUCUAGAGAUAGAGCCUUCCCCUUCGGGGGACAAAGUGACAGGUGGUGCAUGGUUGUCGUCAGCUCGUGUCGUGAGAUGUUGGGUUAAGUCCCGCAACGAGCGCAACCCUUAAGCUUAGUUGCCAUCAUUAAGUUGGGCACUCUAAGUUGACUGCCGGUGACAAACCGGAGGAAGGUGGGGAUGACGUCAAAUCAUCAUGCCCCUUAUGAUUUGGGCUACACACGUGCUACAAUGGACAAUACAAAGGGCAGCGAAACCGCGAGGUCAAGCAAAUCCCAUAAAGUUGUUCUCAGUUCGGAUUGUAGUCUGCAACUCGACUACAUGAAGCUGGAAUCGCUAGUAAUCGUAGAUCAGCAUGCUACGGUGAAUACGUUCCCGGGUCUUGUACACACCGCCCGUCACACCACGAGAGUUUGUAACACCCGAAGCCGGUGGAGUAA
rnacentral:rRNA from 1 species